UAUUUAAAAAUGUGUCCAUAGUGGUGCCGUGUGCUGCUGUGUGAUGUGAUUGAUAUCAGACAGAAUUGAUCAGGAGAGGAACUGCAGACCCGUUCGCGUCUCUUUAUCCCUCAAUCAUUUCCUGAGGUUGAUACGAACGUGCCGACCAGCUGACGUUAAACAGCAAACAGCCAUUCUCUGAUCUGCCAGACUGCGCAGACUUUUGGAGCUCUCAUUGGAUCUUUCUUGAGGGAGCCUUGCGUUAAGAACAGAACCAGUGUGGUUUUCUGAAAAUGGCCGCUUUUGUCUUCAAACACACGACAACGGCUAGAGCCAAGGGGAAAUUCCUGCACAGCGUCUCCGAGAAUAAAAGACGUUCUCCUCAUUAACUCCACAAAAGCAGCGCGAGAGAAAGAAGUGAAGGAACGUCCCCGUGAUGAAUUACAUAAUGCGGCGCUCAGAGAGCUAAUCCUGAGCAGCGUUGCGUAAUGCUGGAGAUGGAUGUGGAAGGCCCCGGGGCCUCGGCAUUAUUUCGACUUAAGACAAACUGCUUCGUCCGGCGCCAAACAUGAGCAGCUGUUAAAAGUAUUACAUAAAAAGUGAUAAUUGCUACUCGCCGGGCUUGUUCUUUGUGCGAGUCUUCUUCUGCACUCCUUGAACUCGUGCGAUGACUGCUCAGCAAACUGCACUGGACAGCUGCUGACGUGAAGAGUCCACGAGUUUUGAACUUUUGCUUCUCCGAGGGAAUCUGGAGCCUUAACUGAAGGAAUGUGAAGAAGUCCGACUACGCUGCAGUGAGCAAGUAUUUACCUCUUACAGAUUUGUUAUGUUUUUACUUCUUCGUCUCAAUGAAACCUUUCUGGCCGGAGCAGACUGGGGUGUGAAAGCCCAGCACCUUGGACAGAUGUUGUGAAUACUCUACUGUCCAUGAUUAUUAGCAUGCCAUCAGCUAAUAACUCUCUACAGCCCACCGUUGCCACUAGGCAACAGAAGGUUUCCCAGAACAUUUGAACUUACCAACAAGUCAUAGAGGAUAAAAAGUUUCCAAUUCCAGUCCAAUAAAAUGUAGGAGCCAGAUUCAAACACAAUUUGAAGGCGGAACAUUAUUGGAGGACUGCAAAGUGUGAGAAAAAGUCUGCAGCGUUCCCAUGUGAGUCCAGGCUCCCCCGUCUGCUGGCGCUCCCCUCCCUGAUGCCAUCAGGGACCGCAGCACCCAUCCCGGUCUCUGCAGAGAGUCGCACAACGCCACCGCGCACACACGCGCAAAGAAGAACACACGCCAAGCAGAACGCGCACGCAGCGAGCGACGCAAUACCCCGGCAGGAACCGAACUCAAACAUGGGCGUGGAGGGAACCUGAGCCAUCUGUUUCUAUUAGAACCGGGUGAAAAUACGACAGUUUUCACAGCCAAGUGCACACAUUUCCAUCUCUGCGCUACUGCAGAAGUUCUUUUGUAUGCACAGUUUCUUGUCCUGCGCAGGUAAUUACAAAUUCCUGGGAGACAUUUACACAGACUUAUCAUAGGGGUAAAUAGAAACAAACGACUUUUGGGCUUUGAUUUGUUUGAGCUGAUUCAUUUUCAUGGUGGAAUGAUCAUGCAACAAAUAGCUUCAGUCAUUUUUGCAAAAAAGAAAGAAAAAAAGUAGCAGCUGCACAAUUUUGGAUUGAAUGUAGAUUUUCUCUAAACAACAAAUAGAAUUAAAAACAUACUUGCUCAAAUUUAUACAUACACCUCCCCAUUAUGAGCUUCACAGCUUAGACAAGACAAGUUUAUCUAUUUAACACGUUUAAGCAACAAAGCAGUUAAAAAGUGCCUGACAAAAUGAAGACAGAACAACUAACCAACAAAAAAAUCACAGUGGCACAUUAAAGGAAAUGAUUCAUAGUCAUCUGGAACAUUUUUGUAAUUGAUCUUUUUCUAAUCUAUUUGAACUGGCAGGAACAUGUUGAUUUUAAAUAGGAGGGGCCCCAAGAUGGAUCCCAAAUAAAAAUGUUGAUAAGGAGUUAACAGAGGAGCCAUGUUGUGAUGACUUCCUGAA